rnacentral:misc_RNA from 1 species
AACUGAACUCAGAACUCCUUCGACUGUGGGGAGGGAGCACUUUUUGAAAGAUGGGGAUAUCACCGCGUGAUAACUCCCCAAACAUGUGAACUCACUCAGUGCUACGAUGAUCUAUGCAACUUACUCCCCAUAGAAACAGAAAGUGUAUCCGGUUGACGAUUUGAAACAUUUCAAGGUUCUGUUUUCAUUUGGUCGGGUGGCAAAGAACUUAAAUCCUGGCAAUCGAGGGGUGCAGUUGAAGUGAA